AGCAUGGUGGGGGUGGCGGAGCUUACCUGAGCUCCAGUCAGUUGCGUUGAUGCAAAUGUACUGUCAAGGACCCUGGAUUUCACCAUACCAAGCGUCCCACUGCAUUUUCCCUCUAGCUUCUGAGAUCCAGCUCACCUUGAAGUCCAUUUCCAUUUGCACUGGUGCAAGAUGGUGGAGGAGAAGCUUGGGGCCUGACAACAGGAGCAAAGGCGCUCUUUUGUUUCACUGCAGAGAUGACAUUGGCAGGCACAGUAGAGAGGAAAGAACAACUGGAAGAAAAAGUAUCAGUGAAAACAAAGGUGAGGUACACUGGGAAUUCCAAGGACUAGUAGAGAAGAGCUGGACAUGUCAUUUGUGACUCAUUCUUUUAAUUCACCGUGCUAAUCAACUGAACUGCCACAAUCUCCCAAGGUAAUUGUAUCUUUACAAUAGUUGAAAGCAGCAGGCAAAAAGGCAUGGAUAGAUGGUAAUAGACCUUCCCCUCAGCCUGCUGAGAAACAGAACAGCAAUCUUACUAUAUGUGACUAAUAGGGCCUGGUGCAGGGGGG